rnacentral:lncRNA from 1 species
AAAAAAAAAAAAAAAAAAAAGGAAAAAAAAAAAAAAAAAAAAGUGAAUUCCUCUUGACGCAGAUCCCCUUCCCCUCUGGAUGGGAGUUCAAUUGUUCUUGCAAGCAAACUCCAAAUCUGCCCCUUGCAUUCACUUCCUGUUUCCUGCCAGAAAGGAAACAGAGAUUUCGGACUGUGUGAACCGGUCCUUUAUUUAAGGAUACAAGAAAAUAGCUAAGCCCUAAUUCGGCCGAGCGCUGUGCACUUUACCAUGCUGCACCGCAAAACAAAGAAAGAGAAACACACACCCGCCCUUCCCAGCUGAAUUGUAAACUGCACGGCGAUGCGAGCAUAAUGGGUAUUUAUGAAAGUUGCUCUAAAACAUUCGCUGGAGUCCAAUGCAAACCCAAACCCUUCGGCCAGGAAGUUUUCAGCUACCAAAAAUAAUCACCAGGCCUGGCUAAUAUUUUUAACGAUCAUGCGUUCUUGGGAAUUUCCUCUUCCCUCCGUGGAGAUAAGUGAUUAAACAAAAUAAAGGCAGUGGCCAUUUUGAUAGGACGGGACGUGUCGGAGAAGAGGCAUAUCAACAGUUCUUUUUUUAUAUCUUUUCCCGAAGUCUUGACUUCUGCAUUCACUGUCUGGCUUUUAGGCUGAAUUCCACUUCUCUAUUAUGUUGCUGACAUCCAGUGAAGUCAGCAGAAAGACAUCUAUGUUUCCUGGGGAGGACUUCCAAGGCAAGGUAUUAGAUCCACUAACAGGGAGGCAGCUUCUCUUACACAUUUUAUUAAUUUUAUAAAAAAAGAGAUCGAGUUCUAUACGGGUGCAAGGCAUUUGUCUUUAUAACUUCUGCAGACCACCGUUGGUUUAAGGCCUGUCCAUUCCUCAGGACUUCUCCACGGAGACCUUGCCUGGCCGUAGUCCCACAGGAAUGAGAUCAGAACUGGCCUUUGGAGUGCGAUUUUCAAUACACCAGCUUCCCUUGAACCCUGAGCAGAGAUGUGGGGAGCAAGGGGGGAGCCCAUGGGGCUCACACAGACGAAGCCUGCCAAGAAGGGAUUAUUCCUGGGAAUCCACACACUGCUCUUUUGGUAACCAGCACACACACAGUCCUUGGCAGCCACAAACCUGGGAGCGUUCCAGGAGCAUCUCGGGGUGGCUCCAGCUCAGGAAGGCACGGAUAUCAGUGGUGCAUUACGGUAAGGCCUGGCUGAUGCUCGAUGCCAGUCUUAGCUCUGCUGGGGAUGAUUUAGGGGCUUUGGCAAGCAGGCACACAGGGGAUGGCCCUUCUGGGGAGCCCUUUACUGGAGAAAUCUGUGGCGUGGCAACCUCCCCUUUCAAAGGCUGA